rnacentral:rRNA from 1 species
UACGUAGGGUGCGAGCGUUGUCCGGAAUUAUUGGGCGUAAAGGGCUCGUAGGCGGUUUGUCGCGUCGGGAGUGAAAACCCAGGGCUUAACCCUGGGCUGGCUUCCGAUACGGGCAGACUAGAGGUAUGCAGGGGAGAACGGAAUUCCUGGUGUAGCGGUGAAAUGCGCAGAUAUCAGGAGGAACACCGGUGGCGAAGGCGGCUCUCUGGGCAUUACCUGACGCUGAGGAGCGAAAGCGUGGGGAGCGAACAGG